rnacentral:lncRNA from 1 species
UAGUAAUGGCAGAUAUGAUGAAAUAGCUGGGGGACACGCUGGGCCUCACACUAAGUGCAAUGGAAGGCAUGCAGUCAGCGCGUGGAUAGAAACGCCCUUGGUAGAUCCUGGGGCAUUGUAUGUGGGCCCUAAAAGCAUAGCCUGCCCUUCGCCUUUUCAAUGGUAUGUUAUUUUCACUUUUCAAAUCAACUUUUUGUUCAGUCUCAUUGAACUCCCACUUUUGGUGGAUUUCUGACUGUCUGAUGCUGUUCCAUUAAUCCCAGGAGGAAUGGAUUCAUGAUCAGAACAGAGGUGAGGAGUUGAAAGUUCAUGGAAAAUGAAAGUUCUGAUAUUAUUCCAUAAUUUAUAGUGUGGAUAUUGCUGUUAUACAAAGGGAAUCUGUUGGUAUAGAUGUGUAUAUUUUCAAAAGAAUUAAAUGGCUGAGUUUUUCCUCAGUGGG